UGGGGAAUAUUGGACAAUGGGGGAAACCCUGAUCCAGCAAUGCCGCGUGAGUGAAGAAGGCCUUAGGGUUGUAAAGCUCUUUCGCCCGCGAAGAUAAUGACGGUAGCGGGAGAAGAAGCCCCGGCUAACUCCGUGCCAGCAGCCGCGGUAAUACGGAGGUGGCUAGCGUUGUUCGGAAUUACUGGGCGUAAAGCGUACGUAGGCGGAUGCGCAAGUUGGGGGUGAAAUCCCGGGGCUUAACCUCGGAAUUGCCCUCAAAACUGCACGUCUUGAGACCGAGAGAGGUAAGGGGAAUUCCUAGUGUAGAGGUGAAAUUCGUAGAUAUUAGGAAGAACACCAGUGGCGAAGGCGCCUUACUGGCUCGGUACUGACGCUGAGGUACGAAAGCGUGGGGAGCAAACA
rnacentral:rRNA from 1 species